UACGGAGGGAGCUAGCGUUGUUCGGAAUUACUGGGCGUAAAGCGCACGUAGGCGGCUUUGUAAGUUAGAGGUGAAAUCCCGGAGCUCAACUUCGGAACUGCCUUUGAUACAGCACGUCUUGAGUCCGGAAGAGGUGGGUGGAAUUCCUAGUGUAGAGGUGAAAUUCGUAGAUAUUAGGAAGAACACCGGUGGCGAAGGCGGCCCACUGGUCCGGUACUGACGCUGAGGUGCGAAAGCGUGGGGAGCAAACAGG
rnacentral:rRNA from 1 species